rnacentral:rRNA from 1 species
UACGAAGGGGGCUAGCGUUGCUCGGAAUCACUGGGCGUAAAGCGCACGUAGGCGGAUUGUUAAGUCAGGGGUGAAAUCCUGGAGCUCAACUCCAGAACUGCCUUUGAUACUGGCGACCUUGAGUCCGGGAGAGGUGAGUGGAACUGCGAGUGUAGAGGUGAAAUUCGUAGAUAUUCGGAAGAACACCAGUGGCGAAGGCGGCUCACUGGCCCGGUACUGACGCUGAGGUGCGAAAGCGUGGGGAGCGAACGGG